CAAAAAAAAUAAAAAUACCACUGAAGUCAAUGAAAUAAAAGUAGUGAUAAACAAGCUGAGAGAGGAACAUGAGCUAGAAAGGGCAUCUGACAUAACCAGCAGGGGGAACACCUUCUGUGCUCACCUCAGGAGCCCAGAAAAAUGAUGGCACUGGAGUUAAUUGAAGCCUAGUUCCUAAUGACUCUGCUGUGACUGCCCCCAUCUCCCCACAGUGCCCCACUUCCAUCCCACAUUUCCCUGCUCCUCAGCAUGUAGCCAGUGGUCCCACAGCGCAAGAGACAGCACGUGCUGGUAUACAUGAGGUGACUGGGUGGAGAAACUGAAACACAAAGGGAAGAAAUGCUGCCCAUGGUUAUAUGGCAUGCCGAUGGCAGAGGGUGUUGUAAGCACUUUUACCCGAAUGCCAUGCUAUUUUACAUGGAGGGGACUGCCAUCAGUUACCACAGCAGUGUAUUACAGCCAAAUGGGUCUGACAAUAUAAAGGAGAUUUGCAUUAAUAUUUCAUCUGAUGUCUUAAUCGGCUGUUGAUAAAUAUAAAUAUUUGACCCUGGAAGUCUUCGGUUGCAUCAUGUCAAAAUCUUCCUGUUUCUAGGAUUUUGUUGUUCAGCUUCAUGGGAUUUUUAGUUAAUGAUCUCAGUGUGGAAAUUCUUCUUCUGCAGCAUGUAUGAAAUAAAUGAUAUUGUUCUCAUUUGGACUCUGCA
rnacentral:lncRNA from 1 species